rnacentral:misc_RNA from 1 species
CGCAUCUUGCGCUUGCUGGUAUUCCGGCAAGCAUGCCUGUUUGAGUGUCAUGAAACUUAUCAACCGUGACUUGGGUUUAGGCCCCUGGCUCGGCUUGGAUUUGGGUGCUUGCGGCUCACGCCGCUCACCUUAAAAGGAUUAGCUGGACAUGUCGUGAGACUUGGUUCUACUUGGCGUAAUAAGUAUUUCGCUGAGGACAUCCCUCUGGGGUGGCCAUGACUCUGGUACAAACGUCUGCUUUCUAACCCGACGGCUUCGGCCUCACUUUUUAUGAUCUGGCCUCAAAUCAGGUAGGACUACCCGCUGAACUUAA